rnacentral:rRNA from 1 species
GGAAGUAAAAGUCGUAACAAGGUCUCCGUUGGUGAACCAGCGGAGGGAUCAUUACCGAGUUUACAACUCCCAAACCCCUGUGAACAUACCACUUGUUGCCUCGGCGGAUCAGCCCGCUCCCGGUAAAACGGGACGGCCCGCCAGAGGACCCCUAAACUCUGUUUCUAUAUGUAACUUCUGAGUAAAACCAUAAAUAAAUCAAAACUUUCAACAACGGAUCUCUUGGUUCUGGCAUCGAUGAAGAACGCAGCAAAAUGCGAUAAGUAAUGUGAAUUGCAAAUUCAGUGAAUCAUCGAAUCUUUGAACGCACAUUGCGCCCGCCAGUAUUCUGGCGGGCAUGCCUGUUCGAGCGUCAUUUCAACCCUCAAGCACAGCUUGGUGUUGGGACUCGCGUUAAUUCGCGUUCCUCAAAUUGAUUGGCGGUCACGUCGAGCUUCCAUAGCGUAGUAGUAAAACCCUCGUUACUGGUAAUCGUCGCGGCCACGCCGUUAAACCCCAACUUCUGAAUGUUGACCUCGGAUCAGGUAGGAAUACCCGCUGAACUUAAGCAUAUCAAUAAGCGGAGGA